rnacentral:lncRNA from 12 species
CUAAAUUGUAAGACUCUUGGACUCUAGCCAACUUAGAUGGGGUUAAUGUGGGAAUCCAUCCUCCCCCUUCCUCAUCUGAGGCCCUGGGAUUUGCAGAGCUCAGCACUCUGUCUGGCCUGAAGGCUAGAUUUGACCUUCACCUUCUGCCUCUUUCUGCUCAGGCCCUUGGGCAAUGCAUUUAACUAUCUUCCAAUUUGUGUUACUUCCCAAAGUAAAAGAGGUAAAUAACUUCCCUAGCACCCUAAAUAAGAAUUAUGACACUGGGAGCAAAUAACUUUUGAGAGCACUGUGUGUGGGGGGGUGGGGGGGAAUGACAUGCUCACGGUCACAAGAAAACAGGAAAGGUUUGGCCCAGGGAGAUGCAUUUUACAAAGAAUGGGGGCUUCUUUCCUUAAUUCCCUUCCGGCCUUUUCUGUUGAUAUAGGAUUGGGUUUAGCACAAAUGAGAUUAGCAUUUUUGCAGAGUUAAUUAGCUUCCAGUUUGUGUAGGGAUCUCUCCACGUACUGCCCUCCUUUCCUAAUACUCUCUGAGGAAACAUUUAUGGGAAACCCAGAAGAAAAUGACCAUUAUUUGUGUUUUCAAGACCUGCCUCAUCCACUGGCUUUUUAAUUUUUAUUUAUUUAUUUUUUGAUAGCAGCUAAUCUAGUCCUUAUGCUCCCACAAGUAGAAGUACCUGAAUAUUACAGGUUGUGAGCUGUUCUCCUUAGGCAAUCCCCUCACUGCAGACUGACUUGACUUCUGAAUCUCUCUCUUGGCUUGCAAAAUUCUCCAGGAUCUUCAAUUGAAGAUGAUCAUAACAAAGUAAAAGAAACACAAGCGAGAAGAGUAAAUGGAAAACCCAGACGUAAAUUUACCAAGGAUGAGUUGUACCUACUUAAUCACACAUUUGAAGAGAAUCCUUACCCUGAUUUUACCAUUCGAAAAGAACUGGCUGGGCAACUCUGUUGUCAAAUAUAUGCGAUUGAUAACUGGUUCCAGAACAAAAGAGCCCGCCUGCCACUUAAAGAGAGACAGAGAAUAUUUGCUACUAGGAAACUGCAUCUGUCCUCUGCCCAGGGUCAUCCCUAUGGAAGCCUCCAGGACCCCCAGGACCCCACCAGGGCCCCUGAGCACACCUGCUCCUCUACCCUGGCUGCCCUUCCAGGAGGAGCAGGCCAUUUGUCUCCAGAGACUCAGUGGGUUUCCAGUCAACAGGAUGGCUCAGGUGACACCAGGGUCCCAGG